GUACACGCUGUGACUAGCAUAUCAAUAAGCGGAGGAAAAGAAACUAACAAGGAUUCCCUUAGUAACGGCGAGUGAAGCGGGAAGAGCUCAAAUUUGAAAUCUUCAAGGGUUUACCUUUACGAAUUGUAGUUUAAAGAAGUGUUUUCUGCUGAGGUUUUGGUAAAAGUUCUUUGGAAUAGGACAUCAUAGAGGGUGAGAAUCCCGUAUUUGACCUUUACUUUCAACUUUGUGAUACACUUUCAAAGAGUCGGAUUGUUUGGGAAUGCAGUCCAAAAUGGGUGGUAAAUUUCAUCUAAAGCUAAAUAUUGGCGAGAGACCGAUAGCGAACAAGUACCGUGAGGGAAAGAUGAAAAGAACUUUGAAAAGAGAGUUAAACAGUACGCUGAAAUUGUCAAAAGGGAAGCGUUUGACACCAGUGUUGUUUUUCUGAAAAUCAAUUAAAGAACUGUUUAUGCUAAGCUGUUUAGACUUUAUCAGCUAUCUGUUUAGUUUUGAGCUUUUCUUUAAUGCACUUUUCAGUUAACAAGUCAACAUCAAUUUCUUUUGCUGUAGAAAAGCUUGAGGAAGGUGGCUUGAGAUUCGUCUUAAGUGUUUAUAGCCUCUUGCCUAUGCAGUCGGAGAGAUUGAGGUCUGCAGCGUAGAUCCUUCGGGGCUAAAUGCAUUUGUGCUAAGUUAUAGCAUUUUAUAGACAACUUGUUGACUAUGAUUUGUCUUGUAGCUUACUCGCUUAUGUUAUUUUACCUACGCUUAGGAUGUUGAACUACUGAGACAUAGA
rnacentral:rRNA from 1 species